UACGGGGGGGGCAAGCGUUGUUCGGAAUUACUGGGCGUAAAGGGUUCGUAGGUGGCUCGCUAAGUCAGACGUGAAAUCCCUCAGCUUAACUGGGGAACUGCGUCUGGGACUGGCGAGCUCGAGUGCGGGAGAGGAAUGCGGAAUUCCAGGUGUAGCGGUGAAAUGCGUAGAUAUCUGGAGGAACACCGGUGGCGAAGGCGGCAUUCUGGACUGCAACUGACACUGAGGAACGAAAGCCAGGGGAGCAAACGGG
rnacentral:rRNA from 1 species